GACGAACGCUGGCGGCGUGCUUAACACAUGCAAGUCGAACGGAAAGGCCCUGCUUGCAGGGUACUCGAGUGGCGAACGGGUGAGUAACACGAGGGUGAUCUGCCCUGCACUUCGGGAUAAGCUUGGGAAACUGGGUCUAAUACCGGAUAGGAAUCAUCUUUAGUGUGGUGGUUGGAAAGUUUUUUCGGUGUAGGAUGAGCUCGCGGCCUAUCAGCUUGUUGGUGGGGUAAUGGCCUACCAAGGCGGCGACGGGUAGCCGGCCUGAGAGGGUGUACGGGCACAUUGGGACUGAGAUACGGCCCAGACUCCUACGGGAGGCAGCAGUGGGGAAUAUUGCACAAUGGGCGCAAGCCUGAUGCAGCGACGCCGCGUGGGGGAUGAAGGCCUUCGGGUUGUAAACUCCUUUCGCUAGGGACGAAGCUUUGUUGUGACGGUACCUAGAUAAGAAGCACCGGCUAACUACGUG
rnacentral:rRNA from 1 species